UUUCUAUUCAGCCACUUUGCGAAACCAUUUCAAACUGUGUGAAAUGGGUCUCAAGAUAUUGAUAGUGUAGGCAUAAGAUUGCUGUGACUUUUCAUCAUGAUGAUUAACUGCUUGGCAGCUGAGGUCAUCAUCUCGACAUGAAAAACGAAACGCAAUUUAACACAGCUGUAAGUGAACGCAUCAUGACAAUCUCCUUCAGUAAGAGCUGAGUCUGUGGUGACGGUCCACUCACACAUCGAAUCAGUAGCACAGUUUGCUGUUCUGCUUGUUCAUCUGACGGACACGUAAAAGGCGACUGCUCUCUCGUUUCUGUGGAUGUCCAGCGUGAGACACAACUUGAAUCCAACCAGACUGAACACUGACUCCAGGGACAGACGAGCCUGAAGGACACAGCUGUGAUGACCAUGUUCUGUCUCUUAUGACAAAGCAGAAAUAUAAAACACUGGGUUCUUAUCUAAAGUGUAUCAAAUCAGAUCUCCACCAUGUUGCUGCUGAGGACAUCAGGUGCUGCAGUUCUUCAUCUAUGAAGAUGAAAAAACUCACUGUUAAAGAAUGUUUUGUGUUGUGUAUGAAGCACAACAGAUUUCAGAUAGAACCGUUGUACUGUGGUCUUGGUUUGUAUCCUCAUGGUUAAAUGUACAUAUUUUACGUCCCUUCUGAUAAAAGUACUGAAAGAAAUACAACAUUGUAUAAAUAGAUAAAAUGUCUUUCUACCUCAUCAGUAAUAUUCAAGGUGAUAAUCUCCCACAGAGCUAUUGAUAGAAGUCCACAUCAAGUCUCUCGACUUCUCUCAGUGUGAAAACAUAAUUAUAUCAUUAAUUUGAGAACUGUUUACAACACUGAUGUUUGGAGAUUAAAAUCAUAUCUAAACUGUCUAAUUCACUGUAAAACUCCAUGACAUUCGCAGGCCAUCUGUACUUAAAAGACGAACCUGGAUUGAUCUGUCCAAAAAUCCAAAAGUCUCCCUACCCUCUCUAGUGCCCCUGUGCAAGGCACCUCACUCCCCAAACAUCUGCUCCCCGAGCGCCGUACAUGGUCGCUGACUGCUCUGUGUGUCCUGCACCAGAUGUUGUCUUCCAGUUGACCAGCAUGACGCUGCAGAUCUCCACCAUGUUGCUGCUGAGGACAUCAGGAGCUGCAUUAAUGAGGAGCAGAAGCGCACUGUUAUGAAUGUUUUGUGUUGUGUAUGAAGCACCACAUAUUUCAGAUAGAACCAAUGUACUGGGGUCUGGGUUUGUAUCCUAAUGGUUAAAUGCACAUACUUUAAAUCGCUUUUGAUAAAACGUGAGAAAGAAAUACAACAUUGUACACAGAUAAAAUG